UUCCUUGAACUCCUUGAGCCUAGCUUCCCUCCUUGCCUCCUCCACUUUGAUAGAAUGAGUGCUCUUAGGUUCUCUUCAAGUUUCCAAAGUAGGAAACCUCUAAAGAUCCUCACCCACUAGUGUAGUGAGAAGGAUGAAGGAAUAACCAAAGGGUGAAAGAUAUGUUAGUAAAAUCACCCCAAGGUGGCCGGCCUUUGUGUAGUUCUUAGAGAGAUAUUCUUUUGCCUCUUUGUUGUUUUAACCACACAAAAACCCUAAUGAACAAUAUCUCUAUAAAGUUCUUUAUAUAGACAAAAGAAACCUAGCCAACAACUUGACUAAAUAUCUCACCCUUUCCACACCUAAAAUGGCCGGCCCUUUAGUGUUUGGUUUGGGCUUUGGGCUUUUAUUAUUUCAAGUCAUCCAAUGCUUGAAUAAAAGCCCAAUGGGUUUAGGCCCAAUGGGCCCAAUUAAACCCGAACGUUUCUUUAAGCCCAAAACGAUCUUCAUCGCUUUUAUGAUUUCUUUAGACUUUCUAAAUUAAUCACAACACUUAAUUAAUCCAAUUAAUUA
rnacentral:lncRNA from 1 species